CCUCCACUUUAUCCCUUCUCCUCAGCCCCAGAUAGCCAGGCGAUGCAAUUACAGUGUCUUUUGCAGAGCGCGUUGGGUACUGGAGGAAACAGCUGCUGCUCAAACUCCCCUUCACUCAUGUUGGAGGCUGGAUAGAGCUGCAGCAGAAUACAGGGAAUAGGGGAAAAGAGAAUUAAAGAUACUUCACAGCCUUCCCCCCAACCCAGUAUUUGUCACAUUCCCAGGAAGGGGAGUUGCCUACCCAUGGCAUCAUUCCAGAUUAACUACUGAUGAAUUAAUUCCUUGUGUGCAUGCUCAUAUAUGCCAGAAUAAGAGCAUGUUAUUCCAGAUCUCUCACCCCUAGAUCAUGCAGUGUUGGAGUGAGGAGUUUUCAAGUCAGCAGUAAGAGCAAUAGUAGUAAUUGUGGCGUGUGGCAAAAUGUGUUUAAUCCAGAUUAAGCCACUAGGCAUAAUGCAGUCUGCCUCACACCAGCUCCCUGUAUGGAGGCUGUCAUUCCCAGGUGAGGUAUAGCCAAGAGAAGUCCCAGGUGGACACAGUCUGUUUUACUCUGCUUUAUUCCCCCCACCUCCUUCAGAUAAUUUCCCACCUCAAGUGGAAAUAUUUGUUGAGCUUCAGAUGUUAACAAGGGCUUUGUUUGGUUAUCAGCCCUUCCAUGCUGUGCCCAUCCGGAGCAGAAGGCUGUCCGCCACCCUGCUGCCCUCACCUCAGGCCAGGUGGCUCCUGCCCAGUGGAGCCGUGCGUGCGUGUGGAGCCCUGCGCACAGCUGUGUCCCUGACAUACUUUCGCACAGCAUCUGACAGCAUGCGAGAGGUUAACUUACAGUGGCACGUACAGUUUACCAAACCAGAUAUUUAGUUCUCUGGAAACUUCAGGUGGGGUGGAAACGGUCCUGGUAGCACUCUGCAAUCUGGAUCUGGCCUGAGCAUUGAUCCCAUGGAUCCCAUCAACUGCUCCUCAGUGGGGAUGGCAACAGGUGAGGCGUUUGGUACCAGAGGGGCUGCUGCUGGCUCAAGAGCCUCCCCAUGGAGCUGGAAUGAUGUGUGCAACCCCACGCCUGGGGCUAGAGCCGGAGGUCUGCUUUGCUGGGUCAACACGAUCAAGAGGAGUACCCAAAGUGAAAACCAGCCACUAGUGAGCAGAAGCCUCCACUUAGCUUUGCGCAGUGAUGCCCUGGUCAUUUUCCAAGGUGGUCGCAGUUCAUUUAGAAAUUGGCGAUGUACGUGAGGAGACAGAGUGACCGCUGUCCAGCGGGCCUGGCCCUGCAUUGGUCGGAAAAGAAACUCUAGAUGACUUAAUAAAUAUCUUCCAUGUCCAAAUUUUGUCA
rnacentral:lncRNA from 1 species